rnacentral:rRNA from 1 species
GGUUGACCUCGGAUCAGGUAGGAAUACCCGCUGAACUUAAGCAUACAA